rnacentral:rRNA from 1 species
UACGUAGGGUGCGAGCGUUGUCCGGAAUUAUUGGGCGUAAAGAGCUUGUAGGCGGUUUGUCGCGUCUGCCGUGAAAAUCCGGGGCUCAACCCCGGACUUGCGGUGGGUACGGGCAGACUAGAGUGUGGUAGGGGAGACUGGAAUUCCCGGUGUAGCGGUGAAAUGUGUAGAGAUCGGGAGGAACACCGGUGGCGAAGGCGGGUCUCUGGGCAUCUCCUGACGCUGAGGCACGAAAGCGUGGGGAGCAAACAGG